AGAGUUUGAUCAUGGCUCAGAUUGAACGCUGGCGGCAGGCCUAACACAUGCAAGUCGAGCGGCAGCACAGAGGAACUUGUUCCUUGGGUGGCGAGCGGCGGACGGGUGAGUAAUGCCUGGGAAAUUGCCCGGUAGAGGGGG
rnacentral:rRNA from 3 species